AACGAACGCUGGCGGCAGGCCUAACACAUGCAAGUCGAGCGCCCCGCAAGGGGAGCGGCGGACGGGUGAGUAACGCGUGGGAACGUACCCUUCGCUACGGAAUAGCCUCGGGAAACUGGGAGUAAUACCGUAUGUGUCCUUCGGGAGAAAGAUUUAUCGGCAAGGGAUCGGCCCGCGUUGGAUUAGGUAGUUGGUGGGGUAAUGGCCUACCAAGCCGACGAUCCAUAGCUGGUUUGAGAGGAUGAUCAGCCACACUGGGACUGAGACACGGCCCAGACUCCUACGGGAGGCAGCAGUGGGGAAUCUUAGACAAUGGGCGCAAGCCUGAUCUAGCCAUGCCGCGUGAGCGAUGAAGGCCUUAGGGUUGUAAAGCUCUUUCAGGGGGGAAGAUAAUGACUGUACCCCCAGAAGAAGCCCCGGCUAACUCCGUG
rnacentral:rRNA from 1 species